CCGGGACCUGGUUUGUUCACUGAGUUCUGGACAGAACCAUUUUCCCCAAAUGACCAGAAGAAUGAGGUCUGCGACUUCUCUCAGUUUGUUGCUGACUUUCUUAUCUCGUGUCCAGUCGGAUAUUUCAUCGUAUCAGCCAGGGACAGAGACCGGGCGUCCCGGAGGCUCCCUGAGACUGACCUGUAAAACCAGCGGCUUCGAUCUUGGUAGUGCUUUCAUGCACUGGGUCCGACAGGUUCCCGGACAGGGACUGGAGUGGUUGGUUUAUUACUAUAGUUCAUCCAGCAACAGCUACGCCCCAGCAAUUAAGAAUCGAUUUACUGCAUCCAAAGACACUUCAAGGAACAUCUUCUCCUUGGACAUGACAAACCUGAAGAUUGAAGACACCGCCAUCUAUUACUGUGCAAGAGGCCACAGCGAGAGGAACCAGGGCUGGACCCGAACAAGAACAGAUCGAGAGGGACUCAACAACUUCCAUCAUAACCUGACGGGACAGUUUUCCUAUUGGGGACAAGGGACCAUGGUGACGGUGACUGCAGCGACACCAUCUUCUCCCAUUCUCUACAGCCUGGUCUCCCCCUGUCAGCAACACAACACAGACGGUGCCGUCACCUACGGCUGUUUGGCGAUGGACUACUCCCCAGAAAUCACCAGCCUGACCUGGAAGAAAGAUGGGCAGCCGAUCACCACUGGAUUUAAGACUUACCCGUCAGUGAGAAACCACAAGGGAACCUACACCCUGAGCAGCCAGUUAACCAUUACCGAGUCAGAGGGGGAAUGCAGCAAAAUCAAGUGUGAGGUUCGACAAUUCGGCUCAGGCAAGAGCAUUGGAAUGCCAUGUUCUCCAAUUGGGAUCUUCUCUCCAAUUGUUCUCCUCACCGUGAGCUCCCGGAAAGCAAUCAGAAUCAACAAAUUUGCAACCGUCGUCUGUUCAAUCAUCGAUUUCCGUCCAAAGUCAAUCGCCGUGAAGUGGCUGAAGAAUGGACAACCCAUGGAUUCAGGAAUUGUCAACUCUCCCGCCUUUGAAAUGAACGGGAACGGGAACUUCUCGGCGACCAGUCGGCUGAAAGUCUCCGCUGGGGAAUGGUUCACCGACGCGGUCUAUACCUGUCAGGUCACUCACCAAGGGCUCACGCAAAGCCGAAACACCAUCGGGCCUGGUGAUUCCCACUGCCUCAACGAUCCCACAAUUACUCUACUGCUACCGUCAAUAGAACAGAUCUUACUGGAGGCGACGGUGACCUUGACCUGCAUCGUUUCUAAUGCUCCUUAUGGAGCUCUCGUGUCCUGGACCCAAGAAAAGAAGCUUUUGAAAUCAGAGAUUGCCGUCCAACCGGGAGAGGAUUCCAACAGCGUGGUCAGCAACGUAAACAUCUCGACACAAGCCUGGCUGAGUGGGGCUGAGUUCUACUGCGUGGUGAGCCAUCAGGAUCUGCCGACUCCUUUGAGAAGUUCCUUCCACAAGAGAGGUUAUAAUCUGCGAGAACCGUCCGUGUCUGUCCUCCUGCCCUCGGCAGAAGAUGUCUCCGCUCAGAGAUUCGUCUCCCUCAGCUGCUUAGUGAGAGGUUUCUCCCCGCGAGAGAUCUUCGUCAAGUGGACGGUCAAUGACAAGCCGGUGAAUCCCGGGAACUAUAAGAACACCGAGGUGAUGGCGGAGAAUGGCAAUCGCUCCUUCUUCAUGUACAGCCUGAUAUCUAUUGCAGCGGAGGAGUGGGCCAGCGGCGCUUCUUACUCCUGUGUGGUGGGACAUGAAGCGAUCCCCUUGAAGAUCAUCAACAGAACGGUUGAUAAAUCCAGCGAUUCAACCGACCACACCUGGAUUGAAGACUCUGAGGAUGAUAAUGGCAACAUCUGGACAACCGCUUCCACAUUCAUCAUCCUGUUCUUCCUGAGCAUAUCCUACAGCGCUGCCGUCACUCUGGUGAAGGUGAGAAGAUUCAAUCCUCUCACACCUCAAACUGACAGGAGCAGCUUGAAAAAUCUCUCAAUGUUUCAUUGAUUAAAACUUUAACAUAAAUACUCCAGAUCAUAGACAUCUGCUUCAUUAUUUUACCCUCUUUUACAAAUCAGUUGAUCGGUUGAAUUUUGGACACCAUAGUUUUUUUAGCGCUUUAUUAAGUUCUCUGUAUUCCGAAUUUAAAAUAUGUCCUCUUGAUGACUCUAAAUGUGAAAUACAUUUAGUUUGUGAUUCCGAUUCUUUAACUGAGACAAUCAUGAGGGCAUUUCUGAUUUCCUGUUUGAAAUGUGCGAUGUAAUUGUGGCUAUAUUGUAAUGGUAGCUUAUAAUUUCCCUAUAGUUUGAAUUCCCUGUGUAAAUAAGUAACUUCUCACUUUCCUUAUUCACAAUUGUUCCCUUUACGUUGAGCUCCUGUUUUCUCCUCCUGGUGUCUCUUACAGUUGUACAUGCAGCUGGCAGCUCAGAGCGAACGUGUUCUGUUCUCAAUGUGACUCUCAGUCAUUAUAUUCACUUCAGUUAACUUUAAAAUAAACUUUUCUGAAUAUG